rnacentral:rRNA from 1 species
GGAAUUGUUCGCAAUGGGCGCAAGCCUGACGACGCAACGCCGCGUGGAGGAUGAAGAUCUUCGGGUCGUAAACUCCUUUCGAUCGGGACGAAUUGUCCGCGGGUCAAUACCCCGCGGGCGUGACGGUACCGAGAGAAGAAGCCCCGGCUAAAUCCGUGCCAGCAGCCGCGGUAAUACGGGGGGGGCAAGCGUUGUUCGGAAUUACUGGGCGUAAAGGGCGCGUAGGCGGCCUGUUAAGUCAGACGUGAAAUCCCCCGGCUCAACCGGGGAACUGCGUCUGAUACUGGCGGGCUUGAAUCCGGGAGAGGGAUGUGGAAUUCCAGGUGUAGCGGUGAAAUGCGUAGAUAUCUGGAGGAACACCGGUGGCGAAGGCGGCAUCCUGGACCGGCAUUGACGCUGAGGCGCGAAAGCCAGGGGAGCAAAC